GUGACCUGGCCAGAGGGCUGAGUCAUGAGAAGAAGCAGACCAACAGAAGGGCCAGGAACAGUUGUUAACAGGUGGUGCCAGAGGAGGAGAACCUGCUUUGCCAUGCUCAGCCAGGAGAAGAUCUGUUUUCACAACUUAGACAGACACCAGGAUUCCGUUAAUUACACACUCAGGAGAGAAUAUCUUGUUGUCGCCUAUGGAUGUAGGCAGCUGUGAACUGAUAAACAAAACCCAUGGCAGGAAUCUUAGCAGGAAUAUUGCUACCUAAAAAAUAUGACUGUGCUUCAUUAAUGAACUGAGCCCUUUUCUAGAUAAAAAGCUACAGCUUUUGAUGAUGACUAGUGGAGCUAUUCUCUAUAGGUCAGUGCAAUGCCUGGCAUACAUGCCUGAACUUGCCCGACAGCCUUUCUGGACAUAAAGGUCAUUCAUCCUCAAGGCAGAAGCAACCAGUAGCAGUGCUUCAGACGCACACACUGUCAUGAGUGCCCCACUGACAGCAGUGCAACUGUUCUCUUGAAAUGAAAGAGCGUCUCAGAUGGGCUCCUGUGGUCAUUCUGCAAAUGCCAGCGCACAGAGGAAUAAACAUCAGAAUCACUUUCAUCCCAAGAGGAAAUCCUUUGAAGAAGGGCUUUUGGGGGAGCCCCUCAAGAAUAGUAUCCUGAGGCCUCCCAGAACAACCCAAAGCACACACAGGCACACUGGUGCCUGGGUAGUGUUUGAUUGAAGGAGGAUUUCAAAUAUGAGUACAAGAAUUUUCUUCUGACUCUAUGUGAGUGUCACAGUACAUAGUGGAGUAGCAGCAACACCGUCUGUCCAUGUGGUGAUAUUCCUAGGGCCUGAAUAACACUGCCAAUAAACAUCCUUGGGAAAAGGGACCAGAGCACACUAUGGAUCUUCACAUGCCAAUAUGGGGGAGGUGAAUCUCAAUAAGGCUCUAAUGCAGAGAUGCUUUUAGAAAAGUGAGAUAAGUACCAUUUGUUUUAUGACACUGUAAACUCUGAGGGGAAUCCUACCAAUGGGAGGGCCUGGGACAUGAUCUGGCACAUUACUACUACUCAAGAUACUACAAGAGGGAUGUUGUGUCAGUUAUUUCAUCUGAAGAAAAGAAAUGAACUGUAUGGCCUGUGUUUAAGAAAAACCUGUACAGAAAUGGCAGAAAAUAAUAUUAUUCAGUAAUUACCCAUUAUUCAAGAACAUAUGUUUGUAAAUAUGACCUCUGUAAUGUUACCAGGGUCAGACAGACCAAGGACAAUCUGCUGUGUAAGUGUAUAAAUCAAAGCUGUCUAGGGACUGAUUUAAUUUACAAUGUUCUUCAACAUUCUGGACAGAAAAAUGUCACUCGCUUACUUAAAUCCUGUGCUCCUCCCCUUUUUCCACUUUCUCCCUUCCUCCCCCCAUUUUUUGAUAACACUUCUUGACCUCCCUACUUCUUGAAAGCCAUGGAUUUCCACCAAGAGACAAUGUGUUAGACCAACUUGUCUGAAUUAUGCUAACACCCGAACAUGUAAGAUUACAAUACAGCCCUGACUGUAUUCACUUGCUGGUUACCUGUCUUUCUUAGCACAAUUCAGGAGUAAAGCAAUAAAUACUGGAAUUUAUGUCGUUCUUUUAUAUUAAGUACCUAAAUCUGCAAAACAAACUGAGAAAAGCAUCUGUUGAAACUAUUAGAUUCGGGCACUGAUUCUGCUAAAUCACAUGUUUCCCGUUGUGGAAGGAAAAGAGCUUUUGCAAUAACAUGUAGAAUACAUGGAAUAAUUCUUCUCUUUCUUUCUGUGCUCUUUGGCAGUUUGACUGGCUGAGUCAAAGCAAGUUCUGUUCCUUUAUCUUUUUUUCAAAAUAUGCCAUAAUCUCCAAAUUGAAACCGAGUAGGAUUUGAAUAAAAUGUUCUCAUUCAAGUUAAUUGAAUUAAUAAUCACACUCUAAGCAACAGAUUGCGAUCCUGAAGCCAGUUUUUUUAAAAUUGUCCAUUGGUGCCUUCUCUUUCAAGCGACCAUUUUGUGACUUUUCUGCAGGUGUGGCCACUGAGCUGCCUCAAGGCAAAGCCAAACCUGCCAAACAAAAGAAACUUCAUGUUCUGGAUGUUAACUUUAGUUACCAUAGCCAGACAAUGCUGCCAGUGGUAUGGAAGACAAAAUUGCUGUAGCCAGCUGUGCUGUUCACAGUCGGAUGGUUUCUGUGUAGCUCCAAAUGGUUAUGAAGGCAGUAGUCUGUUGUGGCCAAGGACAGAAUGAUGGAUGAUCUACACACAGUGCCCAAGUAGAAAGAAUGGCAGAAGUUCACUUCAGGGUUGUUAAAAUGCUAAUCUAGGUUA